rnacentral:rRNA from 1 species
GACGAACGCUGGCGGCGUGCUUAACACAUGCAAGUCGAGCGGUAAGGCCCUUUCGGGGUACGACGAGCGGCGAACGGGUAGGAGUAACAACGUGGGUGGACCUCGCCCUCCAGCUCUGGGAGUAAGACCCGGGAAACCGUAGGGUCGUAAUACCGGAUAUGACUCCAUGACGCAUGUUGUGGGGUGGAAAGCCUUGUGCGGCUGAGGAUGGGCCGCGGCCUAUCAGCUUGUUGGUGGGGUGAUGGCCUACCAAGGCGACGACGGGUAGCCGGCCUGAGAGGCGACCGGCCACACUGGGACUGAGAUACGGCCCAGACUCCUACGGGAGGCAGCAGUGGGGAAUCUUGCGCAAUGGGCGAAAGCCUGACGCAGCGACGCCGCGUGAGGGAUGACGGCCU